AGUGAACGCUGGCGGCGUGCCUAAUACAUGCAAGUCGAACGGAAUUUAAAAGAGCUUGCUCUUUUAAAUUUAGUGGCGCACGGGUGAGUAAUAUAUAGCUAAUCUGCCCCUUGCUGGAGGACAACAGUUAGAAAUGACUGCUAAUACUCCAUACUCCUUUUUACCAUAAGAUAAAUCGGGAAAGAAUUUCGGCAAGGGAUGAGACUAUAUCGUAUCAGCUAGUCGGUGGGGUAACGGCCUACCGAGGCUAUGACGCGUAACUGGUCUGAGAGGAUGAUCAGUCACAUUGGAACUGAGACACGGUCCAAACUCCUACGGGAGGCAGCAGUAGGGAAUAUUGCGCAAUGGGGGAACCCUGACGCAGCAACGCCGCGUGGAGGAUGACACUUUUCGGAGCGUAAACUCCUUUUGUUAGGGAAGAAAUAAGAC
rnacentral:rRNA from 1 species